UUUGCUCCCGGCUGCUGAAAGACAAAACUUAUAUCUACUGCUGUCAACUCUGCAGCGCGUCGAGCUGAGUCACAUCGCCCUGUAAUCCGGAGAGCGUUCAGCUUCCUGUGCAGAAAAGCGCAAAGGCCCUUGCGGGACUGUGUUCAGGGCUUUUGCAAAAGAGAACCUAGACAGAUGCUGCCCGUCAGGCCAGCGCCGCUGCCGACGAACUGUGCUUUCGGCUGCCUUAAAUGGAUUCCUCUUUCAUGUGGGUGAAAACUGCCUCGCAAGAGGUGAGAUUGAGUCGGCGAGACCACAUGCAGAUAGAUAUUCCUGGAGAUUCCUCUCUUGUAAAUAGUGACAGAUGGUAAACAAGACAGAUAAAGCACUGCAAUGUAUAUUUCUCAGUAGCAUCGUGCCAUCUUACUUGAGUUCAUUUAAUAUCCCCUGAACUGGAUCAUUUUCAACUUGUUUUCUUGCAUUUGCCUGUAAACAGCCAAAGAGCCAACAUGAAGGGUCCUGGGGGGUCUGGAGCCUGUCCCAGAGGCUACAGGCACGAGGUGGCCCUGACAAAGAGAACAUUUUAAUAAACUCACCUCAUCAUACACACAUCUAUGUUCCAAGGGUCACCCUCGCGACACCAAAACAGGCCUGACCCUUCAAGGAAUGGACCCCACAAGAUCUUUGAAGGAGUCCUGUGGUAUCUGGCACCAAGACAUUAGCAGCAGAUCCUUUACGUCCAGUACGUUGUGAGGUGGGGCCUCCAUGGAUUGGACUCAUUUGUCCAGCACAUUCCACAGAUGUUCGAUCGGAUUGUGAUCUGGGGAGUUUGAAGGCCAAUGCAACACCUUCAACUCCUUCUCAUGUUCUUCAAACUAUUCCUGAACAGUUUUUGUAAUGUGGCAGGGUGCAUUAUCCUAUUGAAAGAGACCACUGCGAUCGUGGAAUACCCUUGUCAUGAUGGGGUGCAUUUGGUCAGCAACAAUGUGUAGGUAGGUGGUACAUGUCAAAAUAUCAUUCACAUGAAUGCCAGGACCCAUGACUUCCCAGCAGAACAUUUCCCAGAGCAUCACACUGCCCAGUGUCAGCUUGCCUUCUUCCCAUCGUGCAUCCUGGUACCACCUCUUCCCCAGGUAAACAAUGCAGGUGCACCCAGCCGUCCACAUGAUGUACCAGAAAAUGUAGCUCAUCAGAUCAGACCACCUUCUUCCACUGGUCCGAAUCUUGCUUCCAAAACAUCAACUUCAAGAGCUGACUGUUAACUUCCCUAAUAUAAAAUGGCAUCCUUGACAUGUGCUAUUGUAAUGAGAUAAUCAAUGUUAUUCACUUCAUCAGUCAGUGGUUUUAAUGUCAUGGCUGAUCUGUGACAGUGAAUAUAAAAAUUAGUUCUGGUAUUUCUGAAAAGUUUUGAUGAUUCUGCUAGUUAAAAGUAUUUGUCUGUGCUGUCCGCACAUACCAAAAUUCUUUGUUUUACGGCUCUCCUUUAAUCUCAUGAUCAAAGGUCCCAUUCUUUACGUGCGAGUGCAUCAACAGGUGUUCUUUGACAAUAAAGCCUCUGCAUUUGUGCUUUGUCUACUGCUGUUCCAGCUUCAAAGCAACACAGUCUCUCUCACAGAUUCUUGGCAGCACAGGCUGUGCCUGGGUUAUAUUUACAAAAUAUCUGCCAGCUAUUUGCUAUUCACAAACCCGGCACAGCGUGCGAGUAAUCUGCUCCAUUUAUGGAGCAGACAAAAUUGGAUUUGCCAUUAUUAAUUAAUCAUUUGGGGGGGGGGGGACUGUUUCUUUGUUUGUUCUUCUUGAUCGAAAUGCACUUUUGUACUUGUUUAGGCUUUUGAAUGUGAUCUUGUGAGGAAAAAAAAAUUGUCAUAAAUGAAUUUGCUAAGUCGCAUAAGAGCUAUGCACUGAAUGUACUGUACUGUGUUUAAAUGAAAGACAGCCAUUCAUUUUGCUAUAAUUUUGGAUUCAUAUCGGAACCAGUGGCAUAUAAUAAAAGUGUCAAUCUCACCAGUAGGUGGAGUUAGAAGGUGAAUAAAGUAGGCAGUUACUCAGACUUCACAUAUGUUUUGAAUCAAUCAUUUAUGAAUUAUUAUUAAGAUGUCAGCGAAAGCUUAAGGACUGGAAAUAAGGGCAAGGGUAAAUUCAUGUAACAUAUCCAUGUUUUAUGAGUAAAUAUGGCCUCCCAUUAAUUCAACCUGAACAUUAAAAUAUUAAACACAAAUUUGACACUUAAUCAUACAGGGAGAAACAUUUGUUUUCCAUGCAGAUCACUCGUGUUAUUGAGCAUAACAAUAACUUGCAGGGAAAAAUGAAACUGACCUAUUUUCUCACAUUACAUCUAGAAAGGCCAUUUGUUUUCUAUGGCUAAGCAGGGCUGGUUGUCAAGGAAAUCCCAUUAGGUAAAGAAGUCAAAUUGCCUUAAAUGAAACUGCCACGUAAUUAAGACAAAUGUAAGCAGUUAUUCCAAAAGGUUGAAAAUGUGUGGCCAUUACACUGAAAUGUGUGCAAUGUCACACUGUCCCCCUCCCCAAAUAAAGGAUACAGCAGAUUGAAAUUAAA